AGGAUGAACGCUGGCGGCGUGCCUAAUACAUGCAAGUCGAGCGGUAAGGUCCCUUCGGGGAUACACGAGCGGCGGACGGCUGAGUAACACGUAGGAACGUACCCCAAAGUGAGGCAUAAGCACCAGAAAUGGUGUCUAAUACCGCAUGUGGCCCUCGGGCUAAAGCUCCGGCGCUUUGGGAACGGCCUGCGCAUGAUUAGCUUGUUGGUGAGGUAAUAGCUCACCAAGGCGAUGAUCAUUAGCUGGUCUGAGAGGAUGACAGCCAGACUGG
rnacentral:rRNA from 1 species